UAGUCCACGCCGUAAACGAUGAAUACUAAGUGUUGGAGCAAUUCAGUGCUGUCGUUAACGCAAUAAGUAUUCCGCCUGAGGAGUAUGCACGCAAGUGUGAAACUCAAAGGAAUUGACGGGGGCCCGCACAAGCGGUGGAGUAUGUGGUUUAAUUCGACGCAACGCGAAGAACCUUACCAGGCCUUGACAUCCCUUGCAAAGGUAUAGAGAUAUACUGGAGGAUAUCAAGGAGAC
rnacentral:rRNA from 1 species